rnacentral:rRNA from 1 species
AUGGCUCAGAACGAACGCUGGCGGCAUGGAUUAGGCAUGCAAGUCGAACGGUGUAGCAAUACACAGUGGCGGAAGGGUGAGGAACACGUGAAUAAUCUGCCCUCAAGUUGGGAAUAACUUUCCGAAAGGAAGGCUAAUACCGAAUGUGGUUGUUUUAUCGCAUGAUAGGACAACUAAAGAUUUAUCGCUUGAGGAUGAGUUCGCGUCCCAUUAGCUAGUUGGCGGGGUAACGGCCCACCAAGGCAGAGAUGGGUAGCUGGUCUGAGAGGAUGAUCAGCCACACUGGGACUGAGACACUGCCCAGACUCCUACGGGAGGCUGCAGUCGAGAAUCUUUUGCAAUGCGCGAAAAAGCGUGACAAAGCAAUGCCGCGUGCCGGAUGAAGGUCUUCGGAUUGUAAACGGCUGUCACUCGGGACGAAAAUGACGGUACCGAGGGAGGAAGCCACGGCUAACUACGUGCCAGCCGCGGC